AUUGAACGCUGGCGGCAUGCUUUACACAUGCAAGUCGAACGGCAGCACGGGUGCUCGCACCUGGUGGCGAGUGGCGAACGGGUGAGUAAUGCAUCGGAACGUAUCCAAUAAUGGGGGAUAACGCAUCGAAAGGUGUGCUAAUACCGCAUACGCCCUGAGGGGGAAAGUGGGGGACCGUAAGGCCUCACGUUAAUGGAGCGGCCGAUGCCUGAUUAGCUAGUUGGUGAGGUAAAGGCUCACCAAGGCGACGAUCAGUAGCUGGUCUGAGAGGAUGAUCAGCCACACUGGGACUGAGACACGGCCCAGACUCCUACGGGAGGCAGCAGUGGGGAAUUUUGGACAAUGGGCGCAAGCCUGAUCCAGCCAUGCCGCGUGAGUGAAGAAGGCCUUCGGGUUGUAAAGCUCUUUCGCAAGGGAAGAAAACUUAGUUCUUAAUACGAGCUGAGGAUGACGGUACCUUGAUAAGAAGCACCGGCUAACUACGUGCCAGCCGCCGCGGUAAUAC
rnacentral:rRNA from 1 species